GACGAACGCUGGCGGCGUGCUUAACACAUGCAAGUCGAACGGAAAGGCCCUGCUUUUGUGGGGUGCUCGAGUGGCGAACGGGUGAGUAACACGUGAGUAACCUGCCCUUGACUUUGGGAUAACUUCAGGAAACUGGGGCUAAUACCGGAUAGGAGCUCCUGCUGCAUGGUGGGGGUUGGAAAGUUUCGGCGGUUGGGGAUGGACUCGCGGCUUAUCAGCUUGUUGGUGGGGUAGUGGCUUACCAAGGCUUUGACGGGUAGCCGGCCUGGGAGGGUGACCGGCAACAGUGGGACUGCGAGACGGCCCAGACUCCUACGGGGGGCAGCGGUGGGAAAUAUUGCACAAUGGGCGCAAGCGUGAUGCGGAAGCGCCGGGGGCGGGAUGACGGCCUUCGGGUUGAAAACCGCUUUCGCUUGUGACGAAGCGUGAGUGACGGUACUGGGUAAAGAAGCACCGGCUAACUACGU
rnacentral:rRNA from 1 species